UACGUAGGGUGCAAGCGUUGUCCGGAUUUAUUGGGCGUAAAGAGCGUGUAGGCGGCCAGAUAGGUCAGCUGUGAAAACUCGAGGCUCAACCUCGAGACGUCGGUUGAAACCAUCUGGCUAGAGUCCGGAAGAGGAGAGUGGAAUUCCCGGUGUAGCGGUGAAAUGCGCAGAUAUCGGGAAGAACACCCGUGGCGAAGGCGGCUCUCUGGGACGGUACUGACGCUGAGACGCGAAAGCGUGGGGAGCGAACAGG
rnacentral:rRNA from 1 species